GACCUCCAUCAUCGCUGGACCACAUCCCUUCUGGAGGAGUUCUUUAGACAGGGGGAUAAAGAAGCGGAGCUGGGUCUACCGUUCUCUCCUCUCUGUGACCGCAAACCCACCACGGUGGCACAGUCUCAGAUUGGAUUCAUUGACUUCAUGGUGGAACCAACAUUUACAGUGCUGACAGAAA